CGAGUAAAAACUCUUCCACCUACUACUUUCUUUCAUGUUUUUUUAUUUUGUUAAGAGAUUAUGAAGAAAAAUGAAGUGUUAGUGAAAUAUGAAGGAAAAAAAGGCAAUUCUUAUUCUCCUUCACUUUUGUCACUCGGCCAAGACUUGAACAACACCAUAACCUUCACAAAAGUUUCCUCUUUCCACCAUUUUUAUCUAUUGGAAGGUUGAUCUUGAAAUUAGAAGGUAGGAAUUAUAUAACUAAGGUAACGUGACAUUUCCUUUUUAAAAGUAAAAAAAAAAAAAAAAGACCUUGAUUAAAUCUUCAUGAUCUUUGGACUGGAAAUUAAGAACUUGUUACUAUGUGAGAAAAAUAAACCAACAAAUCUUUUUAUCUGGAUAACACAUACAAAACCCACAAAUAAAAUUCAUGAUCGGACAACCUUUUACUGGAAACCAUUGUACCGAAAAUCUCACAACCAUGCUGAAAAUCAUAACCGCCACUUCUAUCAUCUCUGGUAAAGGGUUGAAAGUGUGAACCAGACAUGAGACUUUGUCGAGAAACAGGUUGUGCUCGCAUAACGUAAGUUGAACGUGUGGAAAGCUUGCUAAGGUUAGGGCACUCUCUAACUAUCUCAUGUAGACCGGAAAUGCCAAAUACUUGAAUGCAUGUGUAAUUGCAUUUGAUGUGAAAUUGUGAGUUGUUUGCUUGAUUGUGUGAU